rnacentral:rRNA from 1 species
UUCCGGUUGAUCCUGCCGGACCUGACUGCUAUCGGAUUGAUACUAAGCCAUGCGAGUCAUUGUAGUAAUACAAGGCAGACGGCUCAGUAACGCGUAGUCAACCUAACCUAUGGACGGGAAUAACCUCGGGAAACUGAGUAUAAUGCCCGAUAGAACAUUAUGCCUGGAAUGGUUUAUGUUCCAAAUGAUUUAUCGCCGUAGGAUGGGACUGCGGCCUAUCAGUUUGUUGGUGAGGUAAUGGCCCACCAAGACUAUUACAGGUACGGGCUCUGAGAGGAGUAGCCCGGAGAUGGGUACUGAGACACGGACCCAGGCCCUAUGGGGCGCAGCAGGCGAGAAAACUUUGCAAUGUGCGAAAGCACGACAAGGUUAAUCCGAGUGGUUUCUGCUAAAGGAACCUUUUGUUAGUCCUAGAAACACUAACGAAUAAGGGGUGGGCAAGUUCUGGUGUCAGCCGCCGCGGUAAAACCAGCACCUCAAGUGGUCAGGAUGAUUAUUGGGCCUAAAGCAUCCGUAGCCGGCUCUAUAAGUUUUCGGUUAAAUCUGUACGCUCAACGUACAGGCUGCCGGGAAUACUGCAGAGCUAGGGAGUGGGAGAGGUAGACGGUACUCGGGAGGAAGGGGUAAAAUCCUUUGAUCUCUCGAUGACCACCUGUGGCGAAGGCGGUCUACCAGAACACGUCCGACGGUGAGGGAUGAAAGCUGGGGGAGCAAACCGGAUUAGAUACCCGGGUAGUCCCAGCUGUAAACUAUGCAAACUCAGUGAUGCAUUGACUUGUGGUCAAUGCAGUGCUGCAGGGAAGCCGUUAAGUUUGCCGCCUGGGAAGUACGUACGCAAGUAUGAAACUUAAAGGAAUUGGCGGGGGAGCACCACAAGGGGUGAAGCCUGCGGUUCAAUUGGAUUCAACGCCGG